CGGAGAUCUCCAAGGAAAAGGUUGGAAGCCAGCACCUCAAACUCCACUGAGGACACAUUUCACAGUACAUCACAACAGAGUGACUCUACCUAUGAAGAACAUGAUAUGGGCGACCAUGGAGAGGAACUGAGAACUCUGCAGG